rnacentral:rRNA from 1 species
UACGUAGGUGGCAAGCGUUGUCCGGAUUUACUGGGCGUAAAGGAUGCGUAGGCGGAUAUUUAAGUGGGAUGUGAAAUACCCGGGCUCAACCUGGGUGCUGCAUUCCAAACUGAAUAUCUAGAGUGCGGGAGAGGAAAGUGGAAUUCCUAGUGUAGCGGUGAAAUGCGUAGAGAUUAGGAAGAACACCAGUGGCGAAGGCGACUUUCUGGACCGUAACUGACGCUGAGGCAUGAAAGCGUGGGGAGCAAACAGG